ACGGAAGGCAGCAGUGGGGAAUAUUGGGCAAUGGGCGCAAGCCUGACCCAGCAAUGCCGCGUGAAGGAAGAAGGCUUUCGGGUUGUAAACUUCUUUUAAGGGGGAAGAGCAGAAGACGGUACCCCUUGAAUAAGCUCCGGCUAACUACGUGCCAGCAGCCGCGGUAAUACGUAGGGAGCAAGCGUUAUCCGGAUUUACUGGGUGUAAAGGGCGUGUAGGCGGGACAUCAAGUCAGAUGUGCAAGCACGAGGCUCAACUUCGUGUCUGCAUUUGAAACUGACGUUCUUGAGUGUUGGAGAGGCUAACGGAACUCCUAGUGUAGCGGUGAAAUGCGUAGAUAUUAGGAAGAACACCAGUGGCGAAGGCGGUUAGCUGGACAAUAACUGACGCUGAGGCGCGAAAGCGUGGGUAGCAAACAGGAUUAGAUACCCUGGUA
rnacentral:rRNA from 1 species